rnacentral:SRP_RNA from 2 species
GCUGGGCAUGGUGGUGCAUGCCUGCAGUCCCAGCUACUUGGGAGGCUGAGGCAGAAGAAUCGCUUGAACCUGGGAGGUGUAGGUUGCAGUGAGCUGAGAUUGCGCCACUGCACUCCAGCCUGGGUGACAGAGUGAGACUCAGUCUCAA